UCCCCCUCCUCCCUCUCUCCCCCUCCUCCCUCUCCACUUCCUCUUUUUCCUCUUCUUUCUACUCAUCAUCACCAAUAGAUUUUCAUUUUUAGGACAGUUUUAGAUGCACAGCACAAUCAAGCAGAAGAGACAGAAAGUUCCCCCAACCCCCCUCCCCAAACACACCCAGCCCCCUCCACCGCCACCACCCAAACCACAGCAGCACCUGCCUGCGUUGACACAGCAGUGUCACCCAGAGUUCACAGUGUCCCUCGAUGUGUACGUUCUGUGGGUUUGCACGUACGUACGGUGACAUGUCCCAUCGUUACGGUGGGUUUCACCGCCCUGAAAAUGCUCCGUGCUCCCCCUGCUCAUCCCUCCUCCCCCACCGCUGCAAACCGCUGACCUUUUUAUUGUGACCGUACUGUUGCCUUUUCCAGAACUGCGUGUCGCACAGUUGGAAUCACAAAGCAUGUUGCUUUUUCAAAGUUGCUGCUUUCACUUAGUAACACGCAUUUAAGGUUCCUCCACGCCUCUUUAUGGCUUGAUAGCUCAUUUCUUUUUAGUGCUGGAUACCAUUGCGUUGCCUGGCAUAACACCGUUUGUGUAUCCGUUCACCUACUGAAGGACACAUCUUGGUUGCUCCCGAGCUUUGGCAUUUUGAGUAAAGCUGCUCUCUCAGACGUUUGCGUGCGGGUUUUGGUAUGGAUGUAAGUUUCCAUUCAUUUGUGCAAAUACCGAGGAGUGUGGUUGCUAGAUUGCACGGUAGGAACAUUUUUAGUUUGGUGAGAAGAAGCGACCAGACGGUCUUCCCGAGCGCCCGCACCCCUCGCGCCCCGCCCCCCCCCUCCCCCCCCAGCAGUGAAUGAGCGCUUCUGUCUAUCGACGUCCACGCCAGCGCUCCAUGUCAUCACUGCUCAGGACGCGGGCCGUUCUCACAGGUGUGAAGGGCUAUCUCGCCGUCCUCGUCCGCAAUUCCGUAGUGACCUGUGACGCUGAGCGUCCUCGCUCAGCUUGCUUGCCAUCCGUGCAUCUCUCUUGGUGAGGUUUCUGUCCCGAUCUUCUCACUUCCCAGCCGGAGCGGGUUGUUUUCCUCCUGUUGGUUUUUAAGAGUUCUUUGUACGUUUCGGCUAGCGCUCCUUUAUCAGAGGUGUCUGUGGCAGCCUGUGGCUUGCCUUCUCGUUCUCUGAUCUCCCCUGCUUUCCCUUCUAAUAAUCAUCCUUCCGUGCUCCCCACCAUCAGUAUCAGUGUGCCCCUUUCCCUGUGAUGUUGGGCUGGUUCGGUUUGCCUGUAAUGUUUCAUCAGGUGUUUUCUUUAGAGGUUAGUGGAAUGCUUGCAUGCAUUUCAGCCACUCUACACGGUAUGGAAAUGCGUCCUCAGAAUCCUCAACUCUUCUGUUACAUAAUUGGUCAGAAGCCUGAGCAAUUCGUCCAAGUACUUUAUUACACAUUGUGCCACAUUUAGAACGGGUGAAAUACCUUAUAAGCAAUAUCUUACAGGCGUUCUAAACUUAAUUCUAAUUAAUAAGCAUUCAGGAAUGUGCAGAAGUUCUUAUGAAUAAUAACUCUCCCUGUCCCAUGUCACUGGCAACAUCUGCAAUUGACAGCUGGGGGAGUAACCCCGUUGCCUGUUUGCUUCUGUGUUUAUUGGCUAGAGUAACCCUGUGCAAGGGGGAACGUACCCACCCCCAGAUAAGAAGACACGUAAGCCCCAGCACACAAUGCAGAUCAGUAUCCGGGGGGAGGCUGGCUGGCUCUCCCUACUUUUUCGCAGGCAUAUUAUGGGAAGCCGCACCUCCCCAAAAGGCAGGAUCGCCUUUGGCUGAGACCCCGUCACAUCUGAUUCUUGAGGCGUGGACCUGGUCGCAGACACCUGUUGGAGUUUCCUGUCCCCUGCACCUGUGCAGACUCGCCCCUGUCUCCUGGCCCCCACAGAACAUCUGUGUCACCCUGGUUGGUCCCCUCUGCUCUGGGCUCCAUGAGGGAAGGAAUGGUGACUGUUGGUUAUGGUUAAUAUCAUAAUGGUGCCCAGUAAAUGCUUCUUGAAUGCA